rnacentral:rRNA from 1 species
AUUGAACGCUAGCGGGAUGCUUUACACAUGCAAGUCGAACGAGUGGCGGACGGGUGAGUAAUAUAUGGGACCGGGCCCAGGAGCGGGGGAUAACUAGUAGAAAGAGUGGCUAAUACCGCAUACUAGUGGAGAGGCCGAUGUUGGAGUAGCUUGUUGGUGGGGUAAAGGCUCACCAAGGCAACUAUCCGUAGCUGGUUUGAGAGGAAGACCAGCCCAACUGGGACUGAGACACGGCCCAGACUCCUACGGGAGGCAGCAGUGGGGAAUUUUGGACAAUGGGCGCAACCCUGAUCCAGCCAUCCCGCGUGUAGGAGAAGGCCUUCGGGUUGUAAAGUACUUUCAGCGGGGAGGCGUUACCCGCAGAAGAAGCACCGGCUAACUCCGUGCCAGCAGCCGCGGUAAUUC